rnacentral:lncRNA from 1 species
AAGAUCUCAUCUCUGAGUUAGAGUAAACUGUCAAGACUUAAAACUUACUUACUUUACCUUCACCAUGGGACUUGUAACUGUCACUUCUGUCUUGAGUGGUUAAAAGAUAGAACUGUCUGGCCAAGUGUCAUGUCUCUUAUUCUUGAUCAGCUAUAACUCUGGAGUUUUUGCAGAUUUUCAAAUAAAACUCAGAGAUUCCUUGUAUGACUCUCUUAAAUCUCUCUUUUGUGGUAUUUCUGGAUCCUUACCAAGGCAGUGAUGGUAUAUGCCUUCUCUCAAGAUAUGUGGUAUUUAUGGUAUAAAGCAUAGUGACAUUGUCUUCUCUCUCACCCUACUCUAAUAAGACUUUUAUAUCUGGAGCUCAUAGGUGGGAGAUAAAGUAUACAUACUUACAAGACAUUUAUUGUAUAGUCAAACCAUGGAUCCAAAGAAACAAAUCAAUAAGCCAAAUCAAGAUGUGCAUGUGUGGCGAAUGAAUGGUGUAUGGUGGAAGUCUAAUUCUACUUUGCUCUUUGAGGGAAUACAGACCUUCCUUGCUUUUGAAACUUUAUGAGGAGAAUGAGAUGCUCUUCUUUUUAUUUUCUUUUCUCUCAGGUGGGUAUCUUGUACCCCUAAUUCUACUGUCGGACACUUGUCCAUUUUUACCUCUCGUCUCACUUUUUCUUUCUUUCGAGGUUCAGAGCACUUGCUCCUUUUUAUUUUCUCGUAUUAUUUUUUUCUCUCUUUUUUUUUAUAAGCACUCAUCUCUUGAGAUAAUAUAGCAAGUGGUAGUAACAAGAUAACUUGAGCAUUUAUUUCACGUGGGAAAAACAUGAAUAUUUUUGGUUAUUCUCUCCCGGAUUAGGAGUAGAAUAUUUUUGGGUGAUUCUGGAGAUGGAAAUGGAUGGAUAUAUGUGGAUGGUACUUCCGGAGUAGAAGUAGCAUAUAUGAGUGAACGUGCAAGUGAAUCUUGAUUUAACCACAUGACAAGUUCCUAAGGGUCUACACAGCUUGACCACACUCAAUGCUCAUAAGUAGUAAAUAUUAAAUGUGUGGCUCAAAGUCUAGCAAGCAUGUAUAUAUGGCUGUGGUAGGAAUUUAAACUCUCAUCAUACAGGAACUCAUCAUGCAACAUUUUAAAGAUUUUCAAAGAUAAAAUUCUCCAGAAUUCUAGCAUCUCUAGGAACAGAUAAACAGAAGCUCAACCUUCCCAUAUCGUAUCCGUUAACAACUUAGACUUCAGAUCAAGUUUUCAUCCCAUAAGUUUAGGUUUAGAGCAAGCUUUAAAUUAUAACAGUUAUGUCUAAACUUGAGAGAGAACUUAAAAUGUGCAAAUUAGGCAGAGCAACUAUUCAUCAUAUCCAUGCUUAAGUUUUAUUUAGAUACAGAUUAGCAUAGCCACUUUAUUUAUUUAUUAAACACACUAAGCAAAAGAUAUAUAUAUAUAUAAGCACAAACUCUUUAUUUGGUUUUCCAUAGUUUAUGUGUAUUUAUAUUCUAAAAUAAUAUAAGUAUAAAGAUAGAUAGAAAUACUUAUCGAGAUAAAUGGGGGUGCUCUCCCCCAAGCUGAAUUUUGACGUAAUUUCCCUUGAUGUAGCUAGCAGGUGGCAGAGGUGUAUUUGAAAGUCAGCAGCAUUCUGACAGCGAUUAGAAUGUCCUCCGUCUGCCAGUCUUCUUGAUUCUUAAAUUCUGUGGAGUUCAAAUGGACAACAAAGCUUGUGGAACUGGUUAAGUGUUAGCAUAAAUAUCUAGCCUUUAUCAUGUUGAGACUCCUUAAUAAAUAUUACUUCCUGUUUUUAUAUUUUUAUUUUUUAUAGAGCAGAAAAAUAAUUAUUUUAUUUUUAUGCCACCACAGUGAAUGUACUUAUGGGUUUUAUGCCGCUCGUCUACUCACAUGGGGCUUACUGUUUUUCACAUUUUUAUUUUCUUUUAUUUUUAAGAUAGUAUGAACAUGAUUAACUAAGUAAACUAUUUAAAAUAAUUGAAAGGGAAAGGAUAACGACCAAGUUUACCUCUUGGCAAUGCGUUCGGUGUUUUUAAGUCCUCCGAACGGGACUCUCCAAUUAAUCAUCCUGAGGUUCGUUGGGUGGCGUAGUCGGUACUUCUGGCAGCGCCUCCUCUUCAUGUAUAGUUAUCUUCGUUUUCCAUACCUGACUCGGUGUCUCAGUCUCCUCUGGAUAAUUCUGUUUAAACUCAACGUCUUCUGAUCUUAUCACUUCUCCUUCGUAGUCUGCCCAUCCGUCCUUGAUGAUCCGCCUCCUCUGGUUGCGGUUGCGUCGCUUUCUGACCUGCUUAGAUUCUUCAACGAUAUAGUUAGGGUCAGUAAAAUAACGGCGUACCUUCUCUGAGGGUUGGUGCAUAUGGACUUCUCCGGUUCCAAUGUAGAUAAUUGCUUUAACCGUGCUGAGGAACGGUCUUCCAAGGAUGAUGGGAGGAUCAUAUUCAUCUUCUCCCAUGUCAAUAACUUGAAAGUCUGUGUAGACAAAGUGAUCGUCUAUUUUGACUGGGACAUCAGUUACUAUUCCUUUAACUUCUCAAAAUGUCUGAUCUGCCAUCUGGAGCUGAAUGUAUGUUGGUCUUAGGGGCAUGGUUCCGACAAGAGCCGAUAGGUGACUGCGGCCAUUAUGUUGACGCCUGAUCCAAUGUCACAAGUUGCCUGGUAGAAGUUGUAUCCAUUUAUGGACCAGUAGAUGCUUGGCAUUCCUGGGUCGUCCUUCUUGGUCAAAAGUGGUGACUUAAGUUGAUGAUCUUGGCCUCCAUGAACUACAGUGACCAUCUUAGCUGACUCGGUCCACACUCGCUUGUUCCUGUUCCUCCUGUUGGUCCUCUUCCUUGACUCACGUUUGGAUUGAUCUGGAAUUUGUGUAGUCUUGUUCUUGAAGAAAAAUGUCUCCUUCCUCCCUUUGACAUAGAAACUGAUCUUGGCAGCACUAGCGUAGAUGAUAGCUCCCGUGGUGUUCAAGAAUGGCCUCCCUAGGAUGAUUGGUGCUCUCUCAUCAUUUCCGGUCUCUACCACUGCGAAGUCUGCUAGAGCAUAUAAGGUACCAACUCGGACGCAAAGGUUCUUAAAUAUUCCCUUUGGAAAAGUUAUCGUCUGAUCUGCAAACUGCAAACACAUGGUUGUCUCUAAUAAAGGAUAUGUAAAGAAUUUUUCAUAGAGUACCAUGGGUAUAAUGUUGACGCUAGAGCCAAAGUCGCAGAGUGCUUCUGGAACGUCCACCAUGCCGAUGGAGAUCGGGAUGACGGGGCGUCCUGGAUCGCCUCUCUUGACCGGCACAAGGUCAGUAGAGAAUUCAGUGACGGGGUUACUCCAAUUACCUGCAUCAAACAUGUCUACAAGAUUUGCAGAUUCUAAUCCUUCCAGUUGUGAUGGUAUACCGGGGUUAGUAGUAGGAACAGCAGCAGCUAUUUGAUUUAACUAAGAUUCAAUCAUUUUAUUAAAGCUAAUUUGAUUCUUGAUGGCAGUAGAGAAAUUAUCCAUUCUAUUAUUUAUAUUUUCUAGCAUUUUAUCAUUAGAUGCCAAUUUCUUAGAUAGGUUAUCCAUUAGCUUUCCUUGAUUAGACACUAACUCUUUCAAAGGUGGAAAAUUAUUAUUAUUGUUGUAAGAAUUGUUACCUUGAUAAUUACCUGAGUAUUUAGGCCUCUGUUGAUUCCAACCUUGAUUUUGUUGAGGACGGUUGUAGUAGUUGUUGUUGUUGUUGUUGAUGUAGUUCACAUCCUCAAGUAUCUCAGGGCAGUGGUUGCCUGAGUGUCCAGUAUCUCCACACUCCUCACAAGUCAUGUGAGAGUCGUAGAUGUGCAUAACUUCUUUCUUGUCUCCAGCUCUAUCGCCGAGCUUCUUCAUGAGCAGGUCUAGCUUUGCAGACAGCAUGUCUACCUCCUUCAGCUGAUGCAUACCUCCACCUCUCUUGCGUGUCUGGGUCCUCUCUUCAUUCCAGCUUUGAUUGGACGCCAUCUUCUCCACAAGAGCUGUAGCUUGUGGUAUGGUAAGUGAUAAGAAUGCUCCUCCGGCUGCAGCAUCCAUGGUUUCUCGGGCACUGUUACCGAGCCCAUGAUAAAAUGUCUGCAUCAAUAGCCAACUCUCCAUUCCAUGAUGGGGACAUUCUAGGAUGUAGUCUUGGAAGCGCUCCCAUGCUUCUGGAAUGGAUUCAUCAUUUUGUUGCUAAAAACUUGUAAUCUUCCCACGGAGAGCAUUGGUCUUGCCCAUGGGAAAGAACUUUGCUAGGAAGUAUGUUGAGCAGAGUCCCCAUGUAGUAUUCUUCUCCUUUGUAGCGUAGAACCACUGCUUCACUCUUCCUAACAGUGAGAAUGGGAAGAGGUGAAGUAGUAUAGCAUCUUUGGAAACUCCUGAUAUGGUGAAUGUGUUGCAAAUCUCUAGGAAGUGUUGUAAAUGAGCACUAGCAUCUUCGUGUGCCUUCCCACAGAACUGGUUGGAUUGCACCAUGUUGAUAAGUCCAGGCUUGAGCUCAAAGUUACCAUCGAUCUCUGCAGCAGGUCCAGUGCGGAUGUUGUCCAUAGUGGGAGCUGAGAACUCGCGGAUUGAUUUGUUCACCAUGGCUUCGAACUCUGAAGACAAGUUCCGGUGAUCUUCUUGAUUGGAUGAAGCUUCUUGCUGAAGUGUUGACGAUCUUUUCUUGAGGUUGGCUCCCGCCUUCUUGAAUAAUGCUUCGGGAUUGUCAACAAAAUUUCCUGGAAGAUGUCUUCUAUUCAUACAUUCCCCUGCAUAAGAUAAAAUAGAAAAAUAUCGGGGUAAAACUGUAUGAGAGAAUAGAUAAGCUCAAUCACAUUAGUGAUGCGAAUGAUAACUCAAAAUCUUUUAUUCUAUUCCUGAUUAUUAAUCAACCUUCCCCGGCAACGGCGCCAAAAAUGCUUCUUGGGUAUUCUUAACAUCAUUACCAAAAGUAGACUAAGUUCUCUAAAUCUAGUAACGGUGCCAAAAAUGCCAAACCUAUCCCCCACACCACUUAAGCCAAGUUGUCAUCCCCAGCAUGAUAUACUAGACGCGCUAUUGAAAUAUGCAAUUGCUCUUCUAAAUAAAUAAUGAAUGGGAUCUGCAAGCGCACAGAUUAAUACCGAUGUAGCAUUUUAACCGGGAAGUAUUCCAGGUAUCGUUAUUUAUAUUUUUACCACUCGGAAGGGAUUAGCAAUCAUCACUAUUGAUUACAGAAUAGAAUAUGAGAUUGAGCAUCUAUCAUUGCAUGUAUAAUUGAACAUUAUAUCUAACUCUUCAUACAGGGAUAAUUGUCACAUAAAAGAUAUAUGAAAUAAUAAUAGUGACAAGGAUAACUAAUCUGAUCUAGCCACAUAAUAAAUAUGAUAAGCACCUCAAUUAGAUACUCUAGAAAGCCAUUAGCAUGGUAUUAGAACGAACUACAAGAAUAUUCCCUAAGUUAUUCUCAACUAUAUAGUCUAGCAUUAUCAUAAUUAGUGCAAGCAUACUUAGCAAUCAUUGUGAGACAAGACUACGCCCAUGCAUAGUGAUAUUAGCAAGGAAUAUGAGAAACAUAGCAAUCACUCCCCUGUAAUAAUGUUGCUCUGCCAGCCCAAUACACGAGAGGGGGACUAUAUAAGAAUCAAUGAAGCUGUCACUAUCACGAACCACCCCACGAUCUGGCAUAUUGGGUACAAUCACAGAUAAAUAUGGUAUAAGCACCACGCCUACACAAUAUCUAUCAUUUACCCAUGGAUCCGAUGGAUAAACGCUAUACGAUCCUAAGCAUUUAUAUAGAUCGAAUCUAACUAAGCCAAGUACAUAACUAUGAUAAACUAAGAACAAUAUAAUCUUGAAUAUAAGCAAGUAGAGCAAAGUCAUAAGCAAUAUAUUGAAGUAGAACAAAGUCAUAUUCAUAAUAUUGAAGAACAAAGAUAAUUAGAAAGUAAUUAGAAGCACAAUUAGAGAAUUACCAAGAAUCCUCUUGACAGAUCCGGAAACCAAUCGAAGAUUGACUCCUUCUAGUUCUAAUCCUAUGUAGCUAUGCUAAUCUAGAUAUCUAAUUGAUGUGGUGGCCCUAAUCUUGAUCAGAGGCUUCUUCUCCCUUGAGAAUAAUGAAUUAGGGUUGAGAGGCUCUCUCCUCUAGGGGCCAGGGGGUCUGGUUUAUAGUCCCUUCAAGUGAAUAUGGGCCGUUGGAUCAAACCGACAUAGAUUGUAUGGUUUAGAUUCAUCCUUUAGGUCGGUGGAAAUCUCCCACGAAGCAGAGUCCUGAUUGGACUCAGGGAGGGGGCGGGCGCCCAGGGCAGGAGGGCGGGCGCCCUGCCUCUGGCCCCGUUUCGCCUCCGCUUCGGUCUCGUGGCUUCUGGAGUCUUCUAGAUGUAAGAUAAUUGCGCGGCACGUUAAUAUCUCUAUGUAAUCCCGACGUGUGGGCCUUCCUUCCGUAUUUCCUGAUAACCCCCUGCAGAAAUAGACAAACACCAAAACUCGUGGAAUUCUGUCAGAUAAAACCCUAAGUCUAGAUCUUGAUUUCAUUUGGAUCCUUUUCUUUAUUUAUUUGAUAAUUAAAUUUGAUACUUAAGGACCGUCAACAGAUGUGAAAACCUUUCAUUCCUCGACGCUUAUUCUGGCUACCAUCAAAUAAAGAUGAAAGAAUCUGACCAGCUCGCGACAUCUUUCAUCACGCCCUUUGGGAUGUAUUGUUAUGUAACCAUGCCCUUCGGGCUUUGAAACACUGGGGCGACAUACCAGCGAUGCAUGCUCCACGUGUUUUUCGAACACAUAGGGUCGACGGUCGAGGCAUACAUCGAUGACAUCGUCGUCAAAUCAAAAAAGCGAGGUGACCUGAUUUAGGAUCUCGAGAUCGCCUUUAGUUGUUUACGCGCUAAUAGAAUCAAGCUCAACUCCGAGAAGUGCGUCUUCGGCGUGCCUCGAGGCAUGCUUCUGGGUUAUAUUUUCUCCCAACGCAGCAUCGAGGCUAAUCCCAAGAAAGUAUUGGCUGUUGCAAGGAUGGGGCCUGUUGGGUAUUCUUAACAUCAUUACCAAAAGUAGACUAAGUUCUCUAAAUCUAGUAAUGGUGCCAAAAAUGCCAAACCUAUCCCUCACACCACUUAAGCUAAGUUGUCAUCCCCAGCAUGACAUGAGAGACGCGGUAUUGAAAUAUGCAAUUGCUCUUCUAAAUAAAUAAUGAAUGGGAUCUGCAAGCGCACAGAUUAAUACUGAUGCAGCAUUUUAACCGAGAAGUAUUCUAGGUAUCGUUAUUUAUAUUUUUACCACUGGGAAGGGAUUAGCAAUCAUCACUAUUGAUUACAGAAUAGAAUAUGAGAUUGAGCAUCUAUCAUUGCAUGUAUAAUUGAGAACAUUAUAUCUAACUCUUCAUACAGGGAUAAGUGUCACAUAAAAGAUAUAUGAAAUAAUAAUAGUGACAAGGAUAACUAAUCUGAUCUAGCCACAUAAUAAAUAUGAUAAGCACCUCAAUUAGAUACUCUAGAAAGUCAUUAGCAUGGUAUUAGAACGAACUAUAAGAAUAUUCCCUAAGUUAUUCUCAACUAUAUAGUCUAGCAAUAUCAUAAUUAGUGCAAGCAUACUUAGCAAUCAUUGUGAGACAAGACUACGCCCAUGCAUAGUGAUAUUAGCAAGAAAUAUGAGAAACAUAGCAAUCACUCCCCUGUAAUAAUGUUGCUCUGCCAGCCCAAUACACGAGAGGGGGAAUAUAUAAGAAUCAAUGAAGCUGUCACUAUCACGAACCACCCCACGAUCUGGCAUAUUGGGUACAAUCGCAGAUAAAUACGGUAUAAGCACCACGCCUACACAAUAUCUAUCAUUUACCCAUGGAUCCGAUGGAUAAACGCUAUACGAUCCUAAGCAUGUAUAUAGAUCCAAUCUAACUAAGCCAAGUACAUAACUAUGAUAAACUAAGAACAAUAUAAUCUUGAAUAUAAGCAAAUAGAGCAAAGUCAUAAGCAAUAUAUUGAAGUAGAACAAAGUCAUAUUCAUAAUAUUAAAGAACAAAGAUAAUUAGAAAGCAAUUAGAAGCACAAUUAGAGAAUUACCAAGAAUCCUCCUGACAGAUCUGGAAACCAAUCGAAGAUUGACUCCUUCUAGUUCUAAUCCUAUGUAGCUAUGCUAAUCUAGAUAUCUAAUUGAUGUGGUGGCUCUAAUCUUGAUCAGAGGCUUCUUCUCCCUUGAGAAUAAUGAAUUAGGGUUGAGAGGCUCUCUCCUCCAAGGGCCAGGGGGUCUGGUUUUAUAGUCCCUUCAAGUGAAUAUGGGCCGUUGGUUCAAACCGGCAUAGAUUGUAUGGUUUAGAUUCAUCCUUUAGGUCGGUGGAAAUCUCCCGCAAAGCAGAGUCCUGAUUGGACUCAGGAGGUGGGCGGGCGCCCUGACCAACUGGGCGGGCGCCCAGGGUCAGGCCCCGUUUUGCCUCCGCUUCGGUCUCGUGGCUUCUGGAGUCUUCUAGAUGUAAGAUAAUUGCACGGCACGUUAAUAUCUCUAUGUAAUCCCGACGUGUGGACCUUUCUUCUGUAUUUCCUGAUAACCUCUUGCAGAAAUAGACAAACACCAAAACUCGUGGAAUUCUGUCAGAUAAAACCCUAAGUCUAGAUCUUAAUUUCAUUUGGAUCCUUUUCUUUAUUUAUUUGAUAAUUAAAUUUGAUACUUAAGGACCGUCAACAAACUCCCCCAAGCUUACCUCUUGCUCGUCCCUGAGCAAGGAUAGACUCAGCUAAGGAUCAUAAGUUGUUGCAAUAUCUUAAAAAAUUGACGGUACACAUGCUUUUUAAAUAAGAUCUUAUCUCUGAGUUAGAGUAAACUGUCAAGACUUAAAACUUACUUACUUUACCUUCACCAUGGGACUUGUAACCGUCACUUCUGUCUUGAGUAGUUAAAAGAUAGAACAGUCUAGUCAAGUGCCAUAUCUCUUAUUCUUGAUCAGCUAUAACUCUGGGGUUUUUGCAGAUUUUCAAAUAAAACUCAGAAAUUCCUUGUAUGAUUCUCUCAUAUCUCUCUUUUGUGGUAUUUCUGGAUUCUUACCAAGGCAGUGAUGGUAUAUGCCUUCUCUCAAUAUAUGUAGUAUUUGUGGUAUGAGGCAUAGUGAUAUUGCCUUCUCUCUCACCUUACUCUAAUAAGGCAUUUAAUAUCUGGAGCUCAUAGGUGGGAGAUAAAAUAUACAUACUUACAAGACAUUUAUUGUAUAGUCAAACAUGGAUCCAAAGAAACAAAUCAAUAAGUCAAAUCAAGAUGUGCAAGUGUGGCGAAUGAAUGGUGUAUGGUGAUGAUGGUGAUAACAAUGGUGGUGGAAGUCUAAUUCUACUUUGCUCUUUUAGGGAAUACAUACCUUCCUUGCUUUUGAAACUUUAUGAGGAGAAUGAGAUGCUCUUCUUUUUCUUUUCUCUUAGGUGGGUAUCUUGUACCCCUAAUUCUACUGUCGGACACUUGUCCAUUUUUACCUCUCGUCUCACUUUUUCUUUUCUUUCGAGGUUCCGAGCACUUGCUCCUUUUUAUUUCCUCGUAUUUAUAAUUUUUUUUCUUUUUUUUUAGAGCACUCAUCUCAUGAGAUAAUAUAGCAAGUGGUAGUAACAAGAUAACUUGAGCAUUUAUUUCACAAGGGAAAACAGAAAUAUUUUUGGCUAUUCUCUCCCGGAUUAGGAGUAGAAUAUUUUUGAGUGGUUCUGGAGAUGGAAAUGGAUGGAUAUAUGUGGAUGGUACUUCCGGAGUAGAAGUAGCAUAUAUGAGUGAAUGUGCAAGUGAAUCUUGAUUUAACCACAUGACAAGCUCCUAAAGGUCUACACAGCUUGACCACACUCAAUGCUCAUAAGCAGUAAAUAGUAAAUGUGUGGCUCAAAGUCUAGCAAGCAUGUAUAUAUGGCUGUGGUAGGAAUUUAAACUCUCAUCAUACAGGAACUCAUCAUGCAACAUUUUAAAGAUUUUCAAAGAUAAAAUUCUCCAGAAUUCUAGCAUCUCUAGGAACAGAUAAACAGCAGCUCAACCUUCCCAUAUCGUAUCCGUUAACAACUUAGACUUCAGAUCAAGUUUUCAUCCCACAAGUUUAGAUCUAGAGCAAGCUUUAAAUUAUAAUAGUUAUGUCUAAACUUGAGAGAGAACUUAAAAUGUGCAAAUUAGGCAGAGCAACUAUUCAUCAUAUCCAUGCUUAAGUUUUAUUUAGAUACAGAUUAGCAUAGCCACUUUAUUUAUUUAUUAAACACACUAAGCAAAAGAUAUAUAUAUAAACACAAAAUCUUUAUUUGGUUUUUCAUAGUUAUGUAUAUUUAUAUUCUAAAAUAAUAUAAGUAUAAAGAUAGAUAGAUAAAAAUACUUAUCGAGAUAAAUGGGGGUGCUCUCACCCAAGCUGAAUUUUGACGUAAUUUUUUCUUGAUGUAGCUAGCAGGUGGCAGAGGUGUAUUUGAAAGUCAGCAGCAUUCUGACAGCGAUUAGAAUGUCCUCCGUCUGCUAGUCUUCCUGAUUCUUAAAUUCUGUGGAGUUCAAAUAGACAACAAAGCUUGUGGAACUUGAUUAAGUGUUAGCAUAAAUAUCUAGCCCUUAUCUUGUUGAGACUCGUUAAUUAAUUAUUACUCCCUGUUUUUAUAUUUUUAUUUUAUAAAGCAGAAAAGAAAUAUUUAUUUUAUUUUUAUGCCACCACAGUGAAUGUACUUAUGGGUUUUAUGCCACUCGCAUACUCACAUGGGGCUUACUGUUUUUCACAUUUUUAUUUUCUUUUUAAGAUAAUACGAACAUGAUUAACUAAGUAAACUAGUUGAAAUAAUUGAAAGGAAAAGGAUAACUAUCAAGUUUACCUCUUGGCAAGGCAUUCGGUGUUUUUAAGUCCUCCGAACAGGACUCUCCAAUUUCUUAAUCGUCCUUAGGUUUGUUGGGUGGCAUAGUCCGUAGUUCCGGCAGCGCCUCCUCUUCAUGUAUAGUUAUCUUCAUUUUCCAUACCUGACUCGGUGCUUCAAUCUCCUCUGGAUAAUUUUGUUUAAACUCAAUGUCUUCUGACCUUACAACUUCUCCUUCAUAGUCUGCCCAUCCGUCCUUGAUGAUCUGCCUCCUCUGGUUGAGGUUGUGUCUCUUUCUGACCUGCUUAGAUUCUUCAACGAUAUAGUCAGGGUCAAUAAAAUAACGGCGUACCUUCUCUGAGGGGAAGUGCAUAUGGACUUCUCCGGUUCCAAUGUAGAUAAUUGCUUUAACGGUACUGAGGAACGGUCUUCCAAGGAUGAUGGGUGGAUCAUACUCAUCUUCUCCCAUGUCAAUAACUUGAAAGUCUGUGUAGACAAAGUGAUCGUCUAUUUUGACUGGGACAUCAGUUACUGUUCCUUUAACUUCUCGAAAUGUCUAAUCUGCCAUCUGAAGCUGAAUGUAUGUUGGUCUUAGUGGCAUGGUUCCGAACAAGAGCCGAUAGGUGACUACAGCCAUUAUGUUGACACCCGAUCUGGUGUCGCAAAUCGUCUUGUAGAAGCUAUAUCCAUGUAUGGAGCAGUAGAUGCUUGACAUUCCUGGGUCGUCCUUCUUGGUCAAAAACGGUGACUUAAGUUGUUGAUCUUGGCCUCCAUGAACUGCAGUGACCAUCUUAACUGACUCGGUUCACACUUGCUUGUUCCUAUUCCUCCUGUUGGUCCUCUUCCUUGAUUCACGUCUGGAUUGAUCUGGGAUUUGUGUAGUCUUGUUCUUGAAAAAAAAUGUCUCCUUCUUCCCUUUGACGUAGAAACUGAUCUUGGCAGCACUAGCGUAGAUGAUAGCUCCCGUGGUGUUCAAGAAUGGCCUCCCUAGGAUGAUAGGUGCUCUCUCAUCAUUUCCGGUCUCUACCACUACGAA